rnacentral:rRNA from 1 species
CUGGCUCAGGAUGAACGCUGGCGGCGUGCUUAACACAUGCAAGUCGAACGAGGCACCUUGCAGAAGUUUCGGAUGGAAGCGGAGGCGACCGAGUGGCGGACGGGUGAGUAACGCGUGGGGAACCUGCCCCAUUCCGGGGGAUACCAGUUGGAAACGACUGUUAAUACCGCAUAAGCGCACGGAAGGACAUCCUUUUGUGUGAAAAAACUGAGGUGGAAUGGGAUGGCCCCGCGUCUGAUUAGCCAGUUGGCAGGGUAACGGCCUACCAAAGCGACGAUCAGUAGCCGGCCUGAGAGGGCGACCGGCCACAUUGGGACUGAGACACGGCCCAAACUCCUACGGGAGGCAGCAGUGGGGAAUAUUGCACAAUGGGGGAAACCCUGAUGCAGCCGACGCCGCGUGAGUGAAGAAGUAUUUCGGUAUGUAAAGCUCUAUCAGCAGGGAAGAAGAUGACGGUACCUGCACAAGAAGCCCCGGCUAACUACGUGCCAGCCGCAGC